GUCCACGUACAUCCCACCCUGAACGCGCCUGAUCUCGUCUCGUCUCGGAAGCUAAGUUGGGUCGGGCCUGGGAUGGGAGAUUCUGAAUC
ensembl:rRNA 5S_rRNA 5S ribosomal RNA